rnacentral:rRNA from 1 species
AACGAACGCUGGCGGCAUGCCUAACACAUGCAAGUCGAACGAGACCUUCGGGUCUAGUGGCGCACGGGUGCGUAACGCGUGGGAACCUGCCCUUAGGUUCGGAAUAACUCCCCGAAAGGGGUGCUAAUACCGGAUAAUGUCUUCGGACCAAAGAUUUAUCGCCUUUGGAUGGGCCCGCGUUGGAUUAGCUAGUUGGUAGGGUAAAAGCCUACCAAGGCGACGAUCCAUAGCUGGUCUGAGAGGAUGAUCAGCCACACUGGGACUGAGACACGGCCCAGACUCCUCCGGGAGGCAGCAGUGGGGAAUAUUGGACAAUGGGCGAAAGCCUGAUCCAGCAAUGCCGCGUGAGUGAGGAAGGCCUUAGGGUUGUAAAGCUCUUUUCCCCGGGAUGAUAAUGACGGUACCGGAAGAAUAAGCCCCGGCUAACUCCGUG